rnacentral:lncRNA from 1 species
CGCAGACGCCAUUUUAUCCGGUCCUACUCCGCACUGAGCGUGGCAGCCAUUUUGUUUUGGACACCGAGCAGGAGUUGGCGGCGGCAGCUGUGGAGGCACAGACGAAAGGCAGAGAAGGGCAGGCCGGGCGACCAGGCGGAUUGGCCGGCUAGGUAGUCAACCUAAACGAACGAACCGCGCAUUCUACCGCUUACUUAUUUAACCAACCGCCCACCUAGUGCACCCGAGCCCCUCCGCCGUCAACCCAGGUUCGGCCGGUCCCCGGCCGCCCGCCGCAGCCGUGGUGGCAGCCCCGGGAGGAGCGCUGGCGUCCGUUUCCUUUGGUGCGUUUCGGUGGGAGGAGGGGAGGGGUGGUGGAGGGGGAGGGUGGCGGACGGCGGCGGACGGCCCAGCGGCUAGGGAGGCCGGCUGUGGGCGCCGAGGCAGCGUUGGCGGGGAGGCCGGCUGUGGGCGCCGAGGCAGCGUUGGCGGGGAGGCCUACGGGGAGGGGGCGGAGCCCGAGACGGGGCGGGGCCCAGGUGGUGGCGGAGGCGGGCCGGCCUCGGCGGCGCUGGGGACGGUGGGGGUUUACUGGGGGAAAGGGGUGCCAGGGAUUGAACUCAGGGUGCUUAACCACUGAGUCACGUCCCUGCCUGUUUUGCAUUUAUUUAGAGACAGGGUCUCCCUGAGUUGCUUAGCAUCUCGAUUUUGCUGAGGCUGGCUUGGAACUCGCGAUCCUCCUGCCUCAGCCUCCCGAGCCGCUGGGAUUACAGGCGUGCGCCACCGCGCCGGGCAGUGGUAGGGAUUUAAACGAGGACUGGUGGACCUCGUGGCGGCUUUAGGGUUAAAGUCUGAGAGGGCUCUGGAGAGCUGACUCCCAUAUGAAUGCUCAUUUAGGAAACCUCUCCCACUCAAUCCCAUAAAUCCCUAAUCCCUUGCCAAGGCCCCUGAAACUGGGCAUGCCCGUGUGUCUUCCCUGGAUCAGUGGGUCUCAACUUUGCCCAUUAGGCUGCUUAUUUCCCACUAAUUGCUGAUCCCUGGCCUCUGCCCCUGCCACCAGAGACUGGUCUGGACCCCUGGCAUCUGUAUUUUUAAACGUUUCUUAGCCAAGUCUUUUGCAGCCAAGGUUGAAAAAGGUUCUCUGUAUUAAAAGCCAGAUUUUUUUUUUUUUUUUUUAAUUGAAGAUUGAACCCAGGGGCACUUUACCACUGACUUAUGUCCCUAGCCUUUUGUUUUGAGACAGGGUCUGAGUUGCUUAAUUUUUGUCAUUCUCCUGCCUCCAGGCUCCGAGGUGGCUGGGAUUAUAGGCAUGUACCACAGUGUCAGGCUAAAAGCCAGACUCUUAAACAAUUUUGGCAGAUGUUUGCUGUCCUUGGCCUUAAAAUUUUUAAUAAUUUGAGACAACACUCAUAAACUCCUAUAAUGAGUUUUGAUUUUCAAUAAUCAGUGACAUAGACCUUUUCAUUCAUUGUUUUGGACUUGUACCUUUUAGAAAUAAAGUGGCCAUUAUUCUGAUUUCUUCAUUCUGCAUGUCAUCCUUUGUAGAUUCUCGGGAUUUGAAGAUGGCUGCACAAUCAGCGCCGAAAGUUGUGCUAAAAAGCACCACCAAGAUGUCUCUAAAUGAGCGGUGAGGCAGCCAACAGCAACUUCAGCUCCUUCCUAAGAAAACAUUACUUAAAUGGCCCUGGGGUCCAAUGCACAAAAACGUUGUAAGCUAAAUACCAACAGAAGGCUACAGACCUCUGUUCUUAGUUGCAUCUUAAUGUGGUACACAAAACCAAUUGGGCGGUUGUUUCAAAACCCCAUAACAGUAGAUUUUUAUGUUAAGCUGUCUGAAAUAUUUAUCUGGUGGGAUGUAUUUUAAAAAGACUCCUCGCGCCCUCUCUUUUCUUCAAUUUUUUUUCUUUUUUUUUUUUUGCAUUGAUACAGGGGUGGUGCAGCACGGUAGCAUGAUAUACCCUGGCUGCAAAAGGCUUGCUGCCCAGUCCAAGGCCAGCAGUGUUGUGUCUGGCCUGUAAGAGGCAGGUAGCAAGCCAUGAAUAUGUCCAAAGGCCCUCGAAUGCCAUUCCUGGGCCUUGUAAGAGGCACUUGCUUUGCUCCAUUUCACUUUCUUUCCAUUCUGCUUUUUAGUUUGUUUUUGUUUUGGAUUCUUUUAACAGUUAAGUGUUCUUCUGUCUCAUUCCAUUAAGCUUAACCAUGUCAGAUAUAAUAGAGAAAUAUUUUCACAGGCUCUUAAAUGAUUAAACUAAUAUUUCUCAAAAGUACUCACUUGGAAUUGGAAAAAAUGAUCCUUUGAAACUGAGAAAAGGUAUUUAAAGGCAGUUUCUAUCUGAGAGCUUUGUUCAUUCAGUAUAUUUGGCCAGUAAUCUUUAUCAAGUUGAUGUUAAAAUGUCUAUUUUUGCUUCUUCUGAAGCAUAUAUACUUCUUAUCUCUGAGGAUGUAGAACAUUAAUUACUUAUAUUCACAUGUUCCUAAGCAACAUGUAUUUAUAAAUUGAUACACUCCUAAAAUUUAUGUGGAUGUAUGAUUUCCCUGGCUUUGAAGAUGCUCUAGGCCUUCCUCGUAUUUGCCCUUAAACUGAACCCUUGAGUUCCCAAAGUUUAGGCUUUCUUUGUUUGUCUUUGAAACUACAUCUUCUGUCUCUUGUCAUCAUAUCUGCUUAUUGCGUGUUUUUCAUACUUUCCACCUCUCUUAAGAGCUGUUACCUGAGCCCUUGUUAUCACUUUUGAUUGUGCUGCACUUAGCUGCAUUUCUAAGUUUCUGAUUCUUGCAAGUUUUGUGGAAACACAGGAGUCUUUAACCCACAUCAGCCUUGAUCUAAACGUACCACUUUACUUAAAAGUUCGUGGGAUCUGGAGCUCCUGGUCUAGCAAGCCAUGAAAAUGCCAAUAAAUGUUUUGUAAUAAAGCUUUUAUUUAAACAUCCAUUUUGUUCGACCUUGAAGCUUUACUAAUAUGCUGAAGAACAAACAGCCGAUGCCAGUGAAUAUUCGAGCUUCGAUGCAGCAACAACAGCAGCUAGCCAGUGCCAGAAACAGAAGACUGGCCCAGCAGAUGGAGAAUAGACCCUCUGUCCAGGCAGCAUUAAAACUUAAGCAGGUGAGAGAAUGUGUCUUAAUGCUCUGAAGCAGCUGGUGGUCUGUGUCAGUCCGCUGAGUGCCAUGGAUGAUGACAGAGGCUCAGGGCCAAACCUGAAGCUUCUAUGAAAGGGAAGUUCAGAGAAUUCCAAUUUUGGCAGGUACUGAUAAAUAAUGUUUUAUUAUUUCUGUUUUAGGGAGUUUGCCAUCUGUGUGGCCUGUUUGUGUUAUCAGUGACUAUUAAUCUCUUACGUUUGGUCCUUUACCCUAAAAGUGGAUUUAAUGGAUUUUUUUUGAUACAAAGAACCUUUGUUUCAGGUUGGGGUAUAGCUCAAAAGAAGAGCACUUGCCUACCAUGUGCAAGGCCAUGGAUUUGAUCCCCAGCACUGCCCAAAAAAAGAGAAGGAAAGAAACUAUUUGUGUUUAGAUGAUCUUCAAAAUAUCCUUUACUUCCUGUUAAGUGAUCUAUAUCCUAGGGAAAUAAUUUUAUUCUUCCCUAUACAGGGAAUUUGGCCUUAGUCAAAAGUUUUCAGUGCUAAAAUAUACAAAAAGUAUAGUGACUUUUGUUUCCACAGCACCUGAAGUUUUAUCAGUACAUUAGAGCAAGAGUUCUGAGUAGCUAACUUAAGAAUUAGUGAGGUUCUCUUUCAAAUUUCCAGUAAGAGAUAAAUCUAUUCAGACCUGAAAUAAAACCUGCUCUUUAUUAUUCAUAGACUUUAUAUGCAAGUCCGGACAUUGGCUGUGGAAGGAUAUGUCCAAGCUGUGGCUGGGCGUCCGGAGGGCGAUGCCAUGCAACUGUAAGGACUUUAACUGGUAGCACUGCAUGGCUGUGCAUAAAUUCAGCAGUUAAAUAUAACACCCUCCCACCCUUAUUCUGAACCACUGGCUCACUGACCAAAAAUAAACAAGGCUUUCUGCUUCAGUUACCUUAAGCCUUGUAGGACUGGAUCCAUCUCUGACUCGGGAAAGCCAGAAGCAAAAGGCACCAACAAAGGACCUUUCAGCAUGAAGCUUUCAGUAUAGGCUGUGCGAGAAGUAACCUCCAGAGCAACACUGUCAGACGCUUCUGUGAUGAUGGAAAUGCUCUGCGCUGUCCAGUACAGUAACCACUAGCCACAUACGGCUAUUCAGAACUUUAAAUGUAGCUAGUGCUGUGGAGGAGCUUCAAUAGCCACAUGUGUCCAGUGGCUGUCUCAAAUAGCAGCUUUAGAGUGGAAACCAGUGGUAUAGUGGACAUCCUUAAGUGUCCUAUCAAUGUUAGAAGCCAAGAUUGGUAGCAGCUAGGGAUGGGGAUAGGAGGAGAACUCUAGGCACUGUGUAGUUCUUCAUUGAAGCAUAGAACUCGGGAGAAUCGAUAUAUUCAGGAAAACUGAACAUAAGGCACUUACAGAAUAUAGUCUUGACCUCAUGAUUGUGUGCUGGGGCUCUGAGUGUAGCUCAGUGGUAGAGCAUGCGUAAGGGUAUGGAUUUGACCCCUAGCACUACAAAAACAAAAUAAUUGUGUGCUAAGUAGAAGAGUGAGGACAGUCCCUUAAAGUUGGUUGCACCUCCUGUGCUAGAUGUCUUUCUCUACUGAUCAGAAGCGGCUUGUUAUCUUUAUCUUGUGCCUAGGAAGUUAUGCCUCACAGCACAAGAGGGCUACUAUUGGCCAGAGGGGGACAAGUUAUUUGUGGGUUGAACCUGAGUGUGCAUAAACUUCAUUUACAUUCAUGUUGUAGAAAAAUAGGCCUUGGUUGUGUGUUCAAAGCUACAUUGAUGAAAUUUCUUUUGAAGAAUUUUUUAAGAUGUGAUCCUCAAGGAUUUAUUUUUUUGAGAACAGAUUAUUGAAAAUGUAUCUCUGUAGUAUGUCCUUGUCCUCAUAUGUGCCCCUUUGUGGUUAAAGUUCACCUGUGUUAAUUCUAACAGUUUGGCUGGCUCUCUGGAGAUAUAUUUUUGUUUAUUUUGAAUUAAAAGUUAUAAUAUUGGCUUAAGGGAGCUGUUUGCAAGUGUAGAUAUGGAAUUAUGGAUUUCUAAGAAAUUUAAGGAAAGGAAGUUUGACUCUUGUGUUUAUUUGCAUCUUAAGGUAAAAAGUGGACCGUCUGGAGAUAGAUACUCAAAGGAAAAAUGGAGCACACUGGCCUCUUUGACUGAAAAAUCAAUCUUGUUCUUAAGUCAAAAGAAUUCAAAUGAACUUGUAAUUUAAAUUGUGCCCAGAGUGUGGUGAACUUCCUGUGGUGUUUGAGUAAGCCUUUGAAGACAGUAGUAGUUCCUGGGCAGGUAUGAAUUAAGUCAUGUCAUUGUCAACCUGGGGUUCAGAAACAGCAAGUGUUCUUAUUAAAACCUAAGUUCCAGCUGAUGGUAUAUGACUUCUAUAGCCAAAUCAGUGAGGUGAUUUGUGGUGAUGCCAAUUUCAUGGGGUCAUACUGAAGCUUCUUAGAGUUUAUGCUCUGGAAUUCUUUUAUAGCAUGUUCUGAGAACAAAGGUUUCUGAUUUGGGAUCCUUAAUGAUACCCACAGCAGGUUAUUUCCCGCCAUCUCACUUGCUUCCUUUUCUCUGCACUUAGAAUUGCCACCUCUCACUGAAUUGCUUUUUUGAUCUCAAUCCUCCAACACCUUUUCUUCCAGAAGAGCUUAAAGCAGCGCCUGGGUAAGAGUAACAUCCAGGCACGGUUAGGCCGACCCAUAGGGGCCCUGGCCAGGGGAGCAAUUGGAGGACGAGGUCUGCCCAUAAUCCAGAGAGGCUUAUCCAGAGGAGGACUACGUGGGGGACGUGCCACCAGAACCCUGCUUAGGGGCGGGAUGUCGCUCCGAGGUCAGUGCUUUGUGUACCUGAUAACUGUUGGGCCCUGUCCCCUUUCCUUUUCUCUUGGGCUGCUUAUGGACACAUUUGUUUAACAUCUUUAAUACUAAAUUUGUAUUAAUAUAAUUAAUAACUUUUGAAAUCACAUUUUUAGUAGUGCUGCAUGCCUUUUAUUGAUACCAUUCCUUUUCUGGUAAUGUGCAAUGGUGAGAGGCUAUGACCUGCAUAACAGGUAAUUCAUGUCAUCUCCAUUUCAUUUUAAAGCACCCUGCUGCUGCUUGAAUCAAAGCACAUUCAAGUUGUAGAAAUAAGUCAAGUUUAAGAAAUGUAUGUUAGCAUAUAUAUGAGGCCAUGGGUUCAAUCCCCAGCACCAAAAAAAUAAAGAAAUGUAUGGGUCUUCGGCCUAUAUCAAAACUAAACAUGUCUGUUCCUGGUGCUAGCACAACACUGUUAAUCAUCUGAAAGAAAGAGAGGAAAAGUUGACCAAUAGUACUUAACCUAUAUCUUGUAAUUUGGGCACUGCUAUUCUAUUCCCUGUAUAGUUUUUAAAUUUGUUAAAAGUAUGUACUUAAUUAACUCCCAACUUCCCAAGAUGGAUUUGUGGUCAGAAAUGUUGAACUGAUACAAAUAAUGAGCAACUUAAUCUGGUCACACUCUCAAGUGUGCAGCUUGCCCUACCCAGCUUACGAACUAACUGAAUUACUUUAAUUUAACCCUCACCGCCUUCCUUUGGUUAGAAUCUACUUUUGUUUCUCUUGGAUUUACCUGCAUAUACAUUGUAUGCCUCCUCUCCAAGGUCAAAACCUGCUCCGAGGUGGACGAGCCGUAGCUCCCCGAAUGGGCUUAAGAAGAGGUGGUGUUCGAGGUCGUGGAGGUCCUGGGAGAGGGGGCCUAGGGCGUGGAGCUAUGGGUCGUGGCGGAAUCGGUGGUAGAGGUUAGUCAGCUACCAACUUCAGAGAGUAGCUCCCCCUAUUUCCUUCCUUUAAAAACUCAGAGCCACCUUUCUGCACAGCUUCAAGUCACAGGCAGGCUUGUUUGUUUGUCUUGUUUUGUUUUUUGAAACUGGCUUAUUUCCUAAAUUCACAUGCUGGUAGAUUGAAAGUCUGUCAUAAUUUUUCUAAGAGCCAGUCAGGUACAUAUUACAGAACCAGAUAUUAUGCAGUGUUCCCCUAGGUUCUUACAGAUUUAAAUUUUAAAAAUUUUAAAUAACAAAGUGGUUAGUUUGGAAUUUUGUCUUUUACUAUUUCUGCCCCAUCACUACCACAUGCCCAUCUUCUAGCUUAAAACCUCACAUUAACUCAGAUAAGAAUAGAGGAGGCAUCGCUUCUCGGCCUUUUGGCUAAGAUCAAGUGAUGAAGAAUAGAGGAGGCAGCCUGGGGGUAUGGCCCCUGGCUUCAAUCCCCACUACCCUACACAAACACAAAAAAUGUGAACAGAAAGAAGGUAGUAAGAGGCUGGGAAUAUAGGUCAGUGGUAGAGCUCAUGCUUAGCACCAUGAGGCCCUGGGUUCCAUCCCCAGCAUGGGGAGUGAAAGUCAAAGAGGGUGGGACUUGGCGCUGAGCAGUGGCUCUGAAAUAAGUGAAGUUUCUGCUUAUGGGGAACCAGAGAGGUUUUUCUGAUAAAGGUAGGAAAUUAAAUGAUAUUACUGUCAGUUAACUAACUGGCUUUUGCUGAUAAUCUUACCUUUGAGGUCUUGAUAUUUGUCUUUUGAUCUCAUAACCCAUAUUGGGGGGGAUUGGUGGUGGUGUUUUUGCCAAAUCUCAUGGGGGCUUUCUGACUUAGAAUUUAGUGAGAAACUCCCACCACUGUCUGUUCAAGCGGAACAGCCCCUGUGUGUAUUUGCUUCAUUCCUUUAAAGUGUGUUGUGGGUCUUCACAAUUUAUAACCCGGACAUUGCCAAAGAAGAUAUUAACUGGGAAAGGGCAUUAGAUGGCCAAGGGCUAUUUUUUUCUCUUUCAUUAUAUACUAUGUGGGUUUUUUGUUGUUGUUUUUUGUUUGUUUUUUUUUUUUUUUUUUUAGUGAAAUGCAAGGUAGUUUGGUUUCAGGAUGAAAUAGGUUGUUUUCAAAUUAUCUCAACUUGAUUUUUGAGAGAUCACAUGGGUAGGAAGAUUAAAAUGACUCUUCAGAAAGCUGGGUGUAUUUUGUUAAGUGAAUUGAAACUACCUCUCAGAUAACCACCUUGUCGUGAGGUGCCUAGAAUCAGAGAUAAAGAGGCUGGUACUCAGCAUGUUUUUCUAAUCACAUUGUCUGUGUCAAAGAGAAACCCUCAAUAAACUGACACAUGGAGUCAGUUCAUUAGCCUUAAUAAAAUUAAGGAGAGAACUUUCCAGAGGGUAUCAAUUAAAGCUUAAUUUGAAUGUCUGCCUUCGCAUCCCUGAUUCUCUGUGCCCUUUUUACUACCUCCCUGUUACUAAAUUCAAUUAUCUAUUAUGUAUUUUAAUUAUGAAUUUAGAGGGGGGUCUCAAACAUUAGGGAAUUUCUUUCUUAGAAGAGAUAAUCUGUUUAUUAGCCGAUUAUUUUCCAUUUGUUGAUUUAAAAAAUUUUAGAUAGUAUUUAGAGAGGAGCAUGUAAUAAGGGAUUCAUUAUAUGUGCUUUCCAUGUGUUGCUUUCUAUCCAGUGUGUUUCUUGUUUCUCCAGAUUUCUCCUCCUCUCUGCCCUGCCCUUCAGCUUUCUCAGCUAGGCCCCACUGCUCUAAGGGGCAUUUACAUAGCUCCCAUUAAACCUACUUGUAACUGUCUUUUUUUCUUCCCCUCCUUGGGCCAGGUCGGGGCAUGAUAGGUCGGGGAAGAGGGGGCUUUGGAGGCCGAGGCCGAGGCCGUGGAAGGGGAAGAGGUGCCCUCACUCGCCCUGUAUUGACCAAGGAGCAGCUGGACAACCAGUUGGAUGCGUACAUGUCGAAAACUAAAGGACACCUGGAUGCCGAGUUGGAUGCCUACAUGGCACAGACAGAUCCAGAAACCAACGAUUGAAGCCUGCCUGCCUGUCCUUCUGUGAGAGACUCUUGUUAAGUCACCACAUCUGUAAAUAACCUUGAGAUAACAGAUGAGAAGAAACUGAUUGAUGCUGGAAGGACCUAUCUCAAUAGGCUGUGGACUCACCUGUCACCAGUUUGUGCAUUUAGUGUGUUCCUUUUACUUUUUGAUACUGUGUUGUAUGAAACUCUUUUUUUCCUUUGAUUUAGUUGGGGUUUUUUUGUUUUUUUUGUUUUCCUCUUCCCUUCACCCAGACUUUGAAGAUGAAUGUGUUGGCCUUGUGGGUAGAACACUUUGCCUACCUCUGCCUCCCUUCACCUAUAUCAUACACUGACAUUCUCUGUGCCCCCACAAAAAGUUCCAGAAAGAGCCAGUUUUCCUCCUUGAUGCCUUGGUUUCUGAGAUAGAAUUCUGUUGUACAUCCUAUUUAAUAGCCUCUUAGAAGUGUUAAGAAAAUCUGGAGCUGAAAAAUAACGUUUUGCUGCAUUGUUAAUGAUGUAGUAAAUUGGGAACAUUGACAUUGCUAUAGGGACACAUAACAGGUUACCAUGGUAUCUGCUUUGACUGAAGUUGCUACCAGGUGCAUGGAUACCACAUCAUUGAUGACCAGCAUGCUGGAUUGGAUACGUGUAUUUUCUACCCUCAGAUGAGAUUUUUGAGCUUGCCUCUUGGUGGCUUUGUAUCAUAUCCAGAGGGAUGGGCUGCCUUACACCUGCAAUCGAGAGGAAGAAGCCCUUUGGUUUGACUCACACAGCACAGGGAGAGGAAUGGGGCAGUAGGGAGACCACCACUGGAAAGGAUCAGGAGCUGCCCGUGCCAGAAUGCAGUUAUCAUGUUUGUCCCAGGCCACUGUUGGGCUUCUCCAUUGUUGGCUUUAUUUGAUCCUCCUCUUUCUCUUGAAGGUUUAAGUUCAACCAUAUUCUGUCAACUGUUCCCAGUUUCAGUGGAAUCUUGUAUUUCUGGUUCAUUAUAACAAAUUGUUCUCUCAAAUCCAACCAGGACUCUCUCUCUCUUUGUUGGGCUCCUGAGGUGCUGUAGCUCUUUUAAUGUUAUCUUAAUGUACCCCUUGUGUAGUUGAGAAUCG